AGAAGACACCAUGUACAGGGACUCCAGAUGCCCCAGGCAGAGGUAAAAUGCUCGAAAGAGAGGAACAUCACUACCUGGCGGGCAGGUGGGGACAGGCUUGCCACGGAUGGUCUGGGGAUGGGAUAACUCUCUGGCUCCCACUCUGAGAAGCAGGAGGUGAUCUGGCCACAAGCCCUCAAGACGUGUUGAGUUUGGGAAUACCUCACUGCUAGGGAAUACCAGGAAUUAUGCAAUUCACUGUCUUCAUUUUAAAAUUCUGUAUGGGAGAAGCUAAAAAGUGAAGUUGGGGGGUUUUAGUAUAUUUCAUUUGCAUUGGUUUACUCUUCUCGUUCCUUGAUUAUCUGAGAGGAGGCUGCUGUUACGGAAAAGCGAAAACCAGGAGUGGUUUGAAUAUUCUUCCUUGAGACUUUUGACUGUUUCUAUAAGAAGUGGAUCUGCAUGUGCCUUUUGGAUAUUGUGUUCCUCAUGACAAUGCCUUUUGUUCAUAGAUAGUUCCCAGUUUCCAAAGACUUUCCCCAUUAUAACAUUUGUUCCAUCCUCAAAACCGUCAAAUGCAAAGGCCUCCAUUUUAUUAAAGGAGAAAGUACGACUCAAAGAAGUCAAGUGACUCACCCGAGGUCACACAGCUAAAUUCUAGCAGAGCAAGGGACCAAGAUAGUGAAUUCUAAAUGCAGAGACCUUCUUAUUGUUCCAAUUUUCUGUCCGACAAUGCCCACCUCCUGGAGUGAGCAAGUCUUGCUGGAGACACAACAGCAGCUACAAGUGGUCCUCCCGACUAUUCCAGAAAUCCUUUUUCCACAGUGAAAAACUGAAUUUGCCUGCCCCAGUUUCCCAGCCGCCUCAUGACUCGAUGAGCAAUUGCUUUAACUCUGACAAAAUUAGGCCACCUCCAACCUAAAUGUAACCCGUUUUCAGAGUGAGACCCUGCAUGGAGGCAGCUCUUUUCCUGAAAGGAUAACAAAAGCAUGCUUUUGUGUGUAUUUCACUUGAUGGAAAGAAAUCCCCAGUGAGGCCGUUUUUUCCCCCUGAAUUCUCCCAAGUCCAGAAUGUAUCCAAGUUUCCAAUAUUACCUCAGAAGAGCCAUUCAUCUAUGAAGAUGGCCGAAUUGUCUUCCAGCUCGGUAGACAGUGUGUCUGCGAGAGAGAAGUGGCACUGGUCACAAAUUCAAAGUGGAC
rnacentral:lncRNA from 10 species